AGCGAACGCUGGCGGCAGGCUUAACACAUGCAAGUCGAACGCUCAUCUUCGGAUGGGAGUGGCAGACGGGUGAGUAACACGUGGGAACGUACCCUUUGGUUCGGAAUAACUCAGGGAAACUUGAGCUAAUACCGGAUACGCCCUUUUGGGGAAAGGUUUACUGCCGAAGGAUCGGCCCGCGUCUGAUUAGCUAGUUGGUGGGGUAACAGCCUACCAAGGCGACGAUCAGUAGCUGGUCUGAGAGGAUGAUCAGCCACACUGGGACUGAGACACGGCCCAGACUCCUACGGGAGGCAGCAGUGGGGAAUAUUGGACAAUGGGCGCAAGCCUGAUCCAGCCAUGCCGCGUGAGUGAUGAAGGCCUUAGGGUUGUAAAGCUCUUUUGUCCGGGACGAUAAUGACGGUACCGGAAGAAUAAGCCCCGGCUAACUUCGUGCCAGCCGCCGCAGUAA
rnacentral:rRNA from 1 species